GACGAACGCUGGCGGCGUGCUUAACACAUGCAAGUCGAGCGGAAAGGCCACUUCGGUGGUACUCGAGCGGCGAACGGGUGAGUAACACGUGAGUAAUCUGCCCCUGGCUUUGGGAUAGCCACCGGAAACGGUGAUUAAUACCGGAUACGACCACUUCUCGCAUGGGAUGGUGGUGGAAAGUUUUUUCGGCCAGGGAUGUGCUCGCGGCCCAUCAGCUUGAUGGUGAGGUAAUGGCUCACCAUGGCCUCGACGGGUAGCCGGCCUGAGAGGGUGACCGGUCACACUGGGACUGAGACACGGCCCAGACUCCUACGGGAGGCAGCAGUGGGGAAUAUUGGACAAUGGGCGGAAGCCUGAUCCAGCAACGCCGCGUGAGGGAUGACGGCCUUCGGGUUGUAAACCUCUUUCAGCAGGGACGAAGCGCAAGUGACGGUACCUGCAGAAGAAGCACCGGCCAACUACGUGCCAGCAGCCGCAGUAA
rnacentral:rRNA from 1 species